rnacentral:lncRNA from 1 species
GGGGAUCAAAUACUUUUCCCCCCCACUGUAUUAACAAGGGAGCAGGUCAAUACAACGCACACAUAUAAAGUGAAUCGAUUGAGUGCUCUACGAUAAUGAUGACUGGUCAUAGCUGGUCGACAAUUCACGCUCAGAUGAUUCGUUGAGAGCCCCGAGACAAAAGUACAAACGUCUUUUAUAGCCAAGAUACACCCCUUUCAACCUACAUGACGAACAACAGAUACAUAGAAUGGGUCACAAGGUUAAGAUCUGGAUGAAAGAUACCUAUAAUACAUAGCAUACAGUAUCUGCUGUGUCAACAGUUUUCAUUGUAUAGACCAGAGUCUGUCCCUCUGACUCCAAACUGGAACCAUCUCUCCCUGGUACGGUAUAGAACAGAAACAUUAACUCAUGCUCUGGAAUGCUCUUUAGGUUUUAUCACCCAAAAGACCUCAUAAAUCUCCUCUGUCAGUGUUAUCUCCCAGAGGCCCAUCCUCAGUAGAACACACACACACAAUAGUUAAUAGAAUACUCUAUUCUGUUCCAUAACACAACCAUUUGAUGCAAUAAAGGUAGUAUAACAUAGUCUUGCAGUUUUGCUCUCACAACCCUCUAUAACGUUCUCAUUUAUCAUUAUUCACGAUUCAUUCAGGAUUAUCCGUAAAUUUGUCACAAGCUUGAUGUAGUCCUUACGUACUAAGAAUAUGGAACCAAGUACGACAUUUCUGACUACUUUAUUUAUAAGAAUCUUUAAGGCUGUCAAUCAUUAAUCACCCCUAUAAAAAAAAUACUUAAAACAAUCUAUUUUUCUGAGCAAUUGUAUUAGUAUAAAAUAAUAUAAUUUCCCCUUUUUUUUUGCUUACAAUAUACUGUAGCUUAGUAUUAGAUUUUUUACAUUUUAUACAGUCAUUAUUGUUCAUAUUCAUCAAUGGUGUCAAUAAUGUCGGAACCCACUGUAUGUAUAAGAGCAUCUGGGUGUGUGGACCCUACACUGUUACUACAAAGUUCAGAGGUAACUGAUAUCAAACCCACACAGGAGCUGGAGCCGGAGGAGGCUCCACAAUCUUUCAGGGUGAAGGAAGAGGGGCUGGUCCAGGCUAAUGGAACCUCUGCCCAGGCAGCAGGAGAGGAGUUACAGCUGGCUAGAGAGGCACGAGAGGAGGAGAUGGAGGAGGAUGAAAUUGUCUCACCUUGCUCCCUAUCAGAGGUUUUCAAAUUCUAAAUUCCCAGUCCAGACCUGAGCUUCCAGCCAGAUGAGCACCUGGAAGUGUAUGUGUCAACGUCAGAGAACCCCCACCACUUCUGGAUCCAGAUUCUGGGGCUGGACAAACUUACUGCCGAGAUGAGCCGCUUCUACAGCAAAGGAACCCGGCAGGAGCAGCCAGUGGAAAUCUUCAUGGUGGGGGACAUUGUGGCUGCUCUGUACCGGGACUGUAGCACCUGGAACAGGGCUAGGGUCCUGGGGGAGAUGUGCUCUGGUUUGGUGGACCUCGACUAUGUCGACUUUGGAGACAGUAUAGAACAACACAGGGACAAUCUACGAAGUAUGAGGAGUGACUUCCUCAGCCUACCAUUCCAGGUCAUCGAGUGCAGCUUAGCUGGAGUCAACCCAGCAGGCAGGUGUGGAGAGAAGAAGUCCUGGAUGACUUUGACCGCCUGACAUAGUGGAGACCCCUGCUGGCCAAACUGUGCAGCUACACCCACUCUGGCCCAGUGUACUGUACAGCCCUACGACAACACAGAGGGCAAGAUCAGUACUAAACUGGACUGGGGUGGAAAAUGGCACUAUAUCUCUCGCCUAUCUCUUACUGUCUCUCAUUCACUCACUCACGCUCUCUCUCUGUCCUUCUCUGUCACGGUCUUACAGGCACAGUCUCUCUCCCUGUGUAUGUUAUCGCUGUCUCUCUCCCUGGAAGAUGCCUUGUCAUUUGUCUCUUACCAUGAUCUCCCCCUUUGUGUGUGACUGGUUUCUCAUUCUCUCUCUGUCAGACUGUGGAUCUAGGAGAGGAGCUGGUGAGUCUUGGCCAUGCUCUGCCUAGCCAGGAUAAUUGGAACGGUAGGGGCGACAGGUACUACCCCGGAUCACCACAGAGGAUGUUGAUACCUUAGCGUGACCCUGGACAACACCCUGUCGUUCUCCGAAAACAUCAAGGCGGUGACCCGAUCCUGCGCACAAUCCACUGGCUUCCAGUUGAAGCUCGCAUCUGCUACAAGACCAAGUUGCUUGCCUACGGAGCUGUGAGGGGAACGGCACCUCCGUACCUUCAGGCUCUGAUCAGUCCCUACACCCAAAGAAGGGCACUGCGUUCAUCCACCUCUGGCCUGCUCGCCUCCCUACCUCUGCGGAAGCACAGUUCCCUCUCAGCCCAGUCAAAACUGUUCGCUGCUCUGGCACCCCAAUGGUGGAACAAGCUCCCUCAUGACGCCAGGACAGCGGAGUCAAUCACCACCUUCCGGAGACACCUGAAACCCCACCUCUUUAAGGAAUACCUGGGAUAGGAUUAAGUAAUCCUUCUAACCCCCCCACCCUCCCCCCCCCAAAAAGAUAUAGAUGUACUAUUGUAAAGUGGUUGUUCCACUGGAUAUCAUAAGGUGAAUGCACCAAUUUCUAAGUCGCUCUGGAUAAGAGCGUCUGCUAAAUGACGUAAAUGUAAAUGUAAAUGUAAUACCUUAAAUAAAGGUAGGGGCAUGGAUCAGAAAACCAGUCAGUAUCUGGUGUGACCACCAUUUGCCUCAUGCAGCGCGACACAUCUCCUUCGCAUAGAGUUGAUCAGGCUGUUGAUUGCGGCCUGUGGAAUGUUGUCCGACUCCUCUUCAAUGGCUGUGCGAAGUUGCUGGAUAUUGGCGGGAACUGGAACACGCUGUCGUACACGUCGAUCCAGAACAUCCCGAACAUGCUCAGUGGGUGACAUGUCUGGUGAGAUUGCAGGCCAAUAACUGGGAUAUUUUCAGCUUCCAGGAAUUGUGUACAGAUCCUUGCGACAUGGGGUCGUGCAUUAUCAUGCUGAAACAUGAGGUGAUGUUGGCGGAUGAAUGGCACGACAAUGGGCCUCAGGAUCUCAUCACGGUAUCUCUGUGCAUUCAAAUUGCCAUCGAAAAAAUGCAAUUGUGUUCGUUGUCCGUAGUUCAUUGCUACCCAUACCAUAACCCCACCGCCCCCAUGGGACACUCUGUUCACAACGUUGACAUCAGCAUACCGCUCACCCACACGAUGAAGCCGUACACGUUAUCUGCCAUCUGCCCGGUACAGUUGAACCUGGGAUUCAUCUGUGAAGAGCACACUUCUCCAGUGUGCCAGUGGCCAUCGAAGGUGGGAAUUUUCCCACUGAAGUAGGUUACGACGCGGGAACUGCACUCAGGUCAAGACCCUGGUGAGGACGACGAGCACGCAGAUGAGCUUCCCUGAGACGGUUUAUGAUAGUUUGUACAGAACUUCUUAGAUUGUGCAAACCCACAGUUUCAUCAGCUGUCCAGGUGGCUGGUCUCAGACGAUCCCGCAGGUGAAGAUGCCUGCAGUCAGCAUGCCAAUUGCACACUCCCUCAACUUGAGAGUGCAAGUUAUUGUAACCUCUUCAAAGUGCGCAUCAGAAUUCGGUAAGAAGGACUGCACAUCGUUGCAUCCUCAACUUGCAUGUUCUGUUAAGAUUAAUUACCAUAAACUAAAUGUGAUUUCUGUCAUUCUGAGCACCAUGGGUGGAUGCCCUAAUCAGGUUACACACACAAUACAUGUGGGUCCGGUAAAUUUUUCAAAUGUCUGAUAAAUUAAAAUGCUUCUGGUCAAAUGUCCGGCGCCACGUUUUCCUAACAGAAACCCUGAACUAUAUAUGACUUUACUGUGUCUGUAUUUCGUUAGGAUGAUGUGACGGAAGCCUGUCCUGCAUCAGCUUAUCAGGUUCUUUGAGGUUUCUGGAGCUGCAGCGGGCUGAUGUUGAAGACAGCCCCUCCUCUCCCCAGACCACCAGGUCCCAGCCCAGCGCUUUCACACGCUCAACCGAACCACCAACCUCUACAGCUUCUCGUGAAGCCGCUCAACAUCUACAUCACAUUCACUCAUCUAACAGACUCCCGUCCAGAGCGACCCACAGAAGCAACCAGGGUCAACACCCUGCUCAAGGGCACGUCGACAGAUCUCCCACAAGAUUAAAAACGGGGACCCGAACCAGUGACCUAUCAGCCACUGGCCCAAGCUCCCAACCGCCAGGCCACCAGCCCUCCAAAAUGUAAUCAUUCCAUUCCCCACCCCACCCCCAAGACCGCCCGUCCCCACAAGCCCCUGUCACCCAAUGCACUAACAACCAAAAAAAUUAAAAAGACAAAGGCAAAGAAAAACAAAAGACAUCAAGGACAACAAAAAUCAUAACAGCAAGGCCAACUGAAUAUGUUUGAGUGCAUGUAUGGCACUAUUACCUGUGUGUGUGUCCAUGUAUGUGCACAUGUGUGCAUUUGAAUGGGUGUGUGUGUGUAUAUGCAUGUGUACAAACACAUGCACGGCAGCAGCCUCAGGCAAACCGGCAUUAGCUGUAAAAACGCUGCCCCUCAGUUUCAUUCAAAUAUACUUUUUGUUAUGUUUUAUUUUGACUUUGUUGAAUUUUUUUAAUACUUUUAUCUUUGACUGUUAUUCUAUCCCUGCCCAGCAACUCCACUCCCUCUUGUCUCUAAUUCCACAUUCCAACCCUCAGCCCCUCCCAUCUAUCUCUGCUGGCCACCCUCUUCGGAUUUUUAUGCACCAUAUAUCUUUCAACUAUGCUGUGAUGUUUAACAUACAAUUUCAAUCUAUGUAAUUGAAUAGAAUCCACAGAUUGCAAGUUGAAGAUACAUACUUUUACUAAGAAUAUUAGUAUAUUCUUAAUUGACUGACCCGGUCUCUCCAGAUCUCCCAACAGUACUAUUUCUAGGGUCAAUUUUAGAUCAAUGUUCUGCAUUUUUAGCCAUUCCUGAACCUGAGACCAGAAACAGGCUACCUGAGUGCAAUACCAAAAUAAAUGGUCUAUUGAUUCUGCAUCCUCACAACAUUAUCUGCAGAGCUUCGAUGAUUGAAUGCCCCAAAUAUUCAAAAUUUAGUUGGUGGCAAGAAUUGUAUAUAAUCAUUUCUGCUGAUAAUUUUAUAUAUCAACUCAUACACCCUGUAACAUGGAAUUGGUGCGUCAAAAAUCUCUUCCCUACUAUUUUGCAAUCUGUAUGGCACAGCUGUCAACAUCCUGGUCCUCAAAUGAAACUGGUAUACUUUCCGAUUUAUGAAUAUUUUUAUUCCUCCACCCUUUUUGAUCCUUUAUAUUGGGCAGACAGACCAGUUCCCUACUGUACCUCCUCCCGCUGCCACCUGCCUCCUCUAUUUUUGGGAUAAUGCUGUAAUCAAUUGGUUGUAAUCUUGGAUUGAGCAGACCUUCCCAUACAAUUCUGCUAACUCCAUGAAAGACAACUCUACCAUUCCAAUUUACAAUAUCAUUUAAAAACAAAAUACUCUUUUCAAACAUCUUUACCAUAAAUACAGGUAUUUUAUUAACCAGGUUUUAUCAAUAGGUGCCCUUCUUUGCGAGUUAUUGGAAAACCUCCCUGGUCUUUGUGGUUGAAUCUGUGUCUGAAAGAUAAUUGUAUUUUGUGGGGUACAGAGAUGAGGUAGUCGUUCAAAAGUCAUGUUAACCACUAUUAUUGCACACAGAGUGAGUCCAUGCAAUUUAUGUGACUUGUUAAGCAACUUUUUACUCCUGAACUUAUUUUGGCUUGCCAUAACAAUGAGGCUGAAUACGACAAUUCAGCUUUUAAUUUUUUAUUAAUUUGUAAAAAUGUCAAAACAUAUGGGGUAUUGUGUAUAGGCCAGUAACACAAAAUCUAAAUAUAAUCCAUUUUAAAUUCAGGCUGUAACACAACAAAAUUCAGAAAAAAUCUAGGUGUGUGAAUCCUUUCUGAAGGCACUGUAGGUAAUUGUGGCUAAUGUUUGGAUUGUGUUUGGUUUUCACUUAUUUUCUAUCUGUAUGGAAAUGCAAAUGUAGGCCUCUGUAAUAUUGUGCUUCAGAUGUUUAUGUUGUG